rfam:Danio rerio chromosome 4, GRCz11 reference primary assembly.
GCCCGGAUGGCUCAGUCAGUAGAGCAUCAGAAUUUCAAUCUAAGGGUACAGAGUUCAAGUCCCCGUUUGGACC